rnacentral:rRNA from 1 species
UACGGAGGGUGCGAGCGUUGUUCGGAAUCACUGGGCGUAAAGCGCGUGUAGGCGGCCCACUAAGUCUGAUGUGAAAGCCCGGGGCUCAACCCCGGAAUUGCCUUUGAGACUGCAUCGCUAGAAUUGUGGAGAGGUAAGUGGAAUUCCGAGUGUAGAGGUGAAAUUCGUAGAUAUUCGGAAGAACACCAGUGGCGAAGGCGACUUACUGGACACAUAUUGACGCUGAGGUGCGAAAGCGUGGGGAGCAAACAGG